AAUUAAAUUAGUAUUUGACUUUUUAAUUUUUAAAGAGAUGAAUUAAUUUACUCUUUAAAUUUUAUUUCUAAUGGCAUACCUAUGUAAUUACUUACAAAAAAUAAGGUUACAUUUAAAAUGUACUUCCCAAAUAAUAUAGUAGGAUUAUUCACUAUCUAUAUUCAGAGUUUUCUAAAAGUUCAAAAACUCAAAUCUAGAUUAUGGUAUAAUGUCAGUUCUAAACGAAGAUUACGC
rnacentral:sRNA from 1 species